rnacentral:lncRNA from 10 species
CUGGUGGCCCGUAGCAGAGCUGGGAUUCAAACCCAGGCAGUUUGACCUUGAGCUUUGUGUUAUGCUGUCAUAGGCAGGGGUCAGUCUCCUGAAGCCUUGCACAGGGAAGGAAAUGUUCCCUUCCUUGUGCAUUAGGCAAGCUGCCCUGAACUUCCUGCAGCACCCACCAUAGAAUAACCCACCAACUCCAUAGGAAACCUCGCUUAUGCACCCAGAUCUGGUCUGUGAUUUGCUACAGAAAGACAAGAAAUGGCCUGUGGCUUCUUGCUAGCCUGCACUACCAGGCAAUUACUUUUCAGGAGUGGUGGGAAGCCAAACAAAUUCUGAACAUCCUUAUCUGGAACCUGUUUCAUGCAGAGAAGGCCUGCUUGUAAACACAACAGGACGUACAAGCUGAUGAGGAGAAGGCUAUCUUUUUGAACGUUGCCCCUGGGGGACUGGGAGGUCUGCUAGCCCUGGCUCCUCGGGCAAGACCACAACCCUCUAACUGGGCCUCACUUUCUGCUUUGGCUGAGCUGGGAACGGCCAGCAAGGGAGGAGUCGCGGGUGAGGGAGCACAUUGGCCUCCACCUUGGCAAUGCUGCUGUCCCCAAGGGAAAUGUUCCAGGGAAUGUCCUCAGCACCACAGAGAACUGAAAUCCUGGAGAAAACUGGCCUAAGGAGCUCAGAAAGGCCAAUAAAACUGGGGCAUUUGGGGAAGAAGAGGAAAUGGAAUGGCAUUAUUGGAUGAUUUAAAUGUGGUGUGUUGCUAUGGUUCCCAGCCUUCUUGAAAGUCACAGACAUGGUGUAUGGGCUGAAUUGUGUCUUCCCAAAACUCACAUGUUGAGUACAGUACUACAAAAUAUAUUUGAAGAGAUUUGAGUUACAGCACUACACAUUUGAGUUACAGUACUACAAAAUGUAUUUGAAGACGGAGCCUUUGAAGGGGUAAUUGAGUUAAAAUGAGGUCAUAAGGUGGUCCCUAAUCCAAGGCGAUUGGUGUCCUUAUAAAGAGAGAAGAUACCAUAGAAGGAAGACCCUGCGAAGAUAAAGGGAAGAGACAACCAUCUGCAAGCAGAGGAGAGAGGCUUCAAAAGAAACCAACUCUGCCAGCACCUUGAUCUUGGACUUCUAACAUCUAGAACCAUGAGAAAAUAAAUUUCUGCUGUUUAAGCCACCCAGUCUAUUGUAUUAAUACUUUGUUACGGCAGUCCAAGUUGAGUAAUGUACAAGGUGACCCUGCAAUUCCCUAGAUUUGGAGUGCUUGGCUUUUGUUUGUAGCUCAAAGCCUGUCUCUUUUACAGGUAGCUCUCAGAAGACAAGUGAGGGGACACGCAGAAAGGGAGGUCCUUCUUCCCCCACUACAAUCCCUGAGCAUGGAUGGAGAUGGGAGGGCUGGGAUCCUCAGUUCUGUGAGAAAAAUACAAAGGACCAUAAGCCCUGGUGAGAAGGGAGAGUCUCCCUGAGGCACUAGUAAGGAAGUGACCUGGACCUGGACCUCCCACUCCAGGACAUUUUAACCAGCCCUGUGUCAACAGAGCAUGCGCAACCCAGAGGACAUUUUCUUUGAGCCCCACUUUACAGUCUCAUUUACCUGGAGCCUGGCUGGGCUCCAUCAGCCCCCAUUCAGUUAAGAAACUGCCAAAGGAGCAGUUUAUCCAUAUGCCUGCAGGAUAUUAAGGGAAAUGAAUUUUGUGUUCUGGCUGAGAGGGCCUCAGUGGACACUUCCAAAAGGAACCCUGAUUCACAGUAUUUGAUACUUGGUUAUUGGCUUUGGUAGAGCUUGGUUUUGUGUUCUGUCUUCUGAGAGGCAGGUACUGGACACCAGAAGCAGCAGGAUAAUGGCCCUGAAGGAGUCCUGACUGCAACCCCCUGACCACCACCACCGGAGAAUUUGCUCCAGCUUUACUCUCUUCUGAUUUUCCAGAAAUCUGGCAUUUUAAAUAGCUAUUUUGUGUUGGCCUCUUUUCUUCCUUUCUAAAAAGUAUGUUUUAAUUAAAUGUUCUUUGGUUGCUGGCUAAGCUAACCCCAAAGGUUGGUGUCCCUGGUGUGGGCGGGAGAGGUUGAGUUCACACUGCCUUUCAAAGCAGUGCCAGUCCCUUCUGCCCUCUGCGAAGCCCACGUGAAGGGAAGACAAUGGGUUACUGUGGGCCACAGAGCCAUGUCCCCUCACACUGCUCUCCCCUCAGGGCUGCCAGGUGUGGUUGGGGCCUGAGACAAGCUUCUCGCCUCAUCAUUCCUUUCGAGGCAACACUUAAAACAGAGAGGGCUUCAGAAGGAAACAGCACAACCAGCGUCUCAGCACAUGCGGCAAUUCAGAGAGGAAGUACGUUCUAGAACAAAAAUUAAACCCUAAACCUAUAGGUACCAGCUCCAUCCUGCCAUAAAUGCAUCAUACGCUUGGAACUUCCAACACAACCCCGAGAAUGCUGCUCGCUCCCACGAGCUGACGGCAGGCCUGGCCCUCCGCCAGGGAGUUCACUUGCAAAGCUGGAAACUCCCUAACUUAAAACAAUGUCUGGGUGUUUUCUGCUUCAUAGGGGCUCAGAAGGAAGGUAAAAAGCUCAGUAAAUUUGUUGUUUGACAUCUCACUCUGAGUACUGUGUGUUUCAUCUGCCUUCACUCUCACAAUUAUUAUCAACUUGCUGGCUAUAAAAGGCAGGGGCUACAAACUCAGUGAGCCAAAUGCAGUGCUUGCUUCCUAUCUGUGGUCCAUUGCAUAGCAGUGUGCUUGGGUGCUGCGUAAGACAAUUCCCCCCAACGCCUCCAAAAAAUAGGACAUGGUCCACUGCAGGAGUUCAUAAUCUAGGAGUCCAGAGAGUCCAGGCUCAUCAUCCCUUCAGGAUAUUAGAAAACCACCCAAUGGAACUGAUAAAAAUGAGUUGGAACUUGUGACCAGCAGCUGGAUGAGAGGAGUGUGAAUCCCCCAAAUCUUAUGGAUAUAGUGUGCUUUCUUUGAUGUUCCUGCCAAAGUGAGGCUGGAAAGCUAGGAAGAUCUGUAAGACGUGUGCCAGCACAAAGUGACUACAAUUCAAAAGUUCCAAAAACCUUGCUUGAAACAAUUGCAAAUAGCUCAUCAUUUUAAACCAGUGAACCCAAGGCUGAGUGUUUCAUCAAUUUACAGAAAACCAAGAAGAGAAAUCUGACAGCUAUCCCAGUGUAUGACUUACCAUGGAGAUCUUCAAAUAGAAUCACUUUGGUUUGGGUCUCAUUUUCAUAUUAUAACACAAAUUUGUGUAUGUGGGUUAAGAUUCAUAUUUGAUAGGAACUGCUGGGAAUUCUUGCAGUUAUAUCCUCAAAAGACAAAAUAAGCAUAACCAACAGAAUUGUGAAGCAAUAAAGUUGAUUAUGGAUGAAAACUGGGCUGAACAGUCAUAGGACAUGACUUGUUCCUUUGACCUAAAAUGUGCUUUUCUUUCCUUAUCUACCCAGUGUAAUGGUACUACUCUUUCAACCAUCUUGAAUUCACUCACACUUAUUCGUCAAAUCCUGCUCAGCUAUUCCCACUACCCACAAAGUGUACCUUUUUCGUAUUCCUUACUUUUUAUACAUUAGCUCAUUUUCCCCCAAACAAUGCAAUAAAGUAAAAAAUAUUACUCUAUUUUAUAGAAACUUGCAGCUCAGAAAGGAUAAGAAACUUGCAAGUUGAUCCAAAAUAAAUUUCUAAAAAGCAUCAAAAGGUUUCAUUUCUGCAUAAUAUUAAGGACUAAAUUAUAGGAAAACUCUCUCCCUAUAAAACACUGUAAAAUGCUGGAUAAAACGUAGCAUCCCUUAUAAAAUGAAAAAACAAUUAGCCCACUAGCACUGGAAGUCAUCAAGAAAAUUGUUCUGUCUCAACAGAUGCAGGGGGGCAGUUUGAGGUUUUUCUACUACUUUCCUAGUCCUGGAACCUAUUAAGAUGAGAAAGUAACAUGAAAGUGAUCCUGAAAAAAUAAACCAAAACCUGGCUAUUUCAAUAAAUAAAUUGUAAGGGGGAGAGAGACAGAGACAGAGAGAGAGAGACACAGAGAGAGAGAAUAGAAAGGAGAGACAAAGGGUAAAUUUUUGAGUAAAGGAAAUGUUAGAAAUAUAUGAGUCAACUGCAGUGUAUAGAUCUUAUUGAGAUCCUGAUUUUGACAAAUCUAGGAGGAACUAUUAAUGAGUUAAUCAUGGAUAUUUAAACAGUGGUUUGAUUCUAUUAAGAAAUUAACUUGUUAGGUGUAUUAUUAGUAUAUUGAUUAUUUUUUAGUCUUCAUCUUUCGACUUACAUAGCAAAAUAUUUAUAAAUAAAAUGAUAUAAAGUCUGGGAUUUAGUGCAAAAUAAUCCACUGUGUAGUGUGUGUAGUGUGUGGGUGUGGAGGAAAUAUAGGAGCAUACAGAUAAGACAAGAUUGAGCAUGAGUUGAUAGUUAUCAAGGCUCGGUGAUGAGAAUAUAGAGGUUCAUUAUACAAUUGUAUCUACUCUUGUGUAUGCUUGAAAUUUUUCAUAAUAAGUAAGUUAAGGAAACAAAGUGGUUCUAGGCCUGUAACAUCACUGGGACAUAUGGCAAGACAAACCCAUCUGGAAGGGUUGUACUCUCAAAUAGGCUAUAUCAAGUUAUCAUACAUAAAGCCUCUUGGAAGAUGAACUCACAAACCAAAAUUAGCAAACACUUGAAGAAUUAAUUAUUAGUGAAGGCUAGCUCUUACAUGCAUGUACACACACACACACACACACACACACACACACACACACACACACGCUCUAAGAAUCAGAGCUAUAAGAAUUCCAAAUAAUGGAAGUAAUGAGCAGAGCCUAUAAAAAGUACAUUCAAAACAAACACAUGAAGGAAGGAACUGAAAACAUAAAGAACAGGACAGUUUUUAAAGCACCAGGGAUAUGUGAAAAUAACAUCAGUAACAACAUCAGUGAGUUCUAGAAUGAAAAAUUAAAAUUGCUGGCAGUAAAAACUCAAAGGACAAGUAAAAGGCAGAUUAAACCUAAAUGAAGAAGGGAAAAGUGAACCAGAAAAUCUGAGAAAAUAACCCAAGAUACAGCACAGAGAGAUAAAGAGAGAUGAAACAUACUAGACAGGAUAAGAAAUAUGGAGGGAGAAUAAGAAGAUUCUAAAUAUACAUCUGACAGCAAUUCCAGGCAAAGGGAACAAACUUAAUUUUAAAAUUGAGUAUAGAACCCUAAACCCCAAAAUGAGAGAAUCCACAUUUUUCCCAAGCAUUCAAGAACUGUUUAUGAAGAUUGGUCACAAAAUAAGUCUAAUCAAAUAUCAAAUAAUUGAUAUGAAAAACACAUGAACUGAGCACAAAGCAACUAAAGUGAACUCAAUAAUCAAAAGACCAGAUAAAAGACAUUAGAGAAGACUCAAAUAAAUGGUGAGAUCAUCUUUGGUCAUGUAUAGAAAGUACAAAUCCCAGGAAAUUACCAAAAGUAUUUUUCUUGGAACUUGAAAAGCCUAUUCUAAAGUGUAUAUGCAAGAGAAAAUGGCUAAGAUUCACUGAGAAAAUUUUGAAGAAGAAUAAAAUGAAGGAGGGUGGGUUGGGGGUGGGCUGCUUAUCCAUCAUCUUUAUAACAAGAUGCAUUAUAGCAUCAUUUUAAUUUAGACAAUGGUAUUGGCAUAGUGAUAGCCAAAUAAAACAAUAGAACUAAGGAAAAUCACAAAGCAAAUCUAAUAUGGAAACUUGACAGAUGAUAAAUGGGUGUAACAGAUCACUAUGAAAGGGACCGAUUAUUUAUUAAACGGUGCUAAAACAAUUAUCAAUCCAUGUGAGAAAAAAUGUAUGGACCCUUCACAUCAUUGCAAAAAGAAACCACUUAUAAUAAAGAUAUGAAUACCCAAAAGCAAACCUUUAACAUUUUUAGAAAAUGGUAUAGAAAAAUAUUUUUAUGGCCUUGGAGUAGGGAAAAAUUUCUUUAAACUACAUCAAAUCCAUAAAAAAAAGAACUGAUAAAUAUAAAUAUAUGAAGAUUAAAUCUUUUUUCAUAACAAAACACCAUAAAUAAAAGAUAUGAUACCAACCAGAAAAAGAUAUUUGUAGUACCUAAAACCAUAAAGAUUAAGUAACAAAAGUAACAAAUCCUAUAAAUAAAUAAGAAACGAACAACCCAUAGAAAAUAUUUUUUGAAUAAAUAAAUGAUAGAACACAAAAUAAAAUGGCCAAUCAACAUAAAAUAUGUUCAAUUCCAGUAGCAACACCAAAAUGCAAAUUAAAACAAGAUACCAUUGCACACAAAUAAGAUAGGUAAAGAACUCUGAUUUACCACUGGUGGAGGUGAGGUGUAAGUUAGUCCAAUUUGGAUUUGUGGUAGUGACUUGGCAAUAGCUAGUAAUUUGACGAUGUCUAUAUCUUAUGACCCAACAAUUUGACUUCUAGGAAUAUGCCUUAACAAGACUUUAUGUGCACAGGGAGUUAUAGACAAGAAUAUCCACUGUAACACCGUAAAUGCAAAAUAAAAAAUCAUUUUUGAAAACAAAUUUUCUUCAACAAGAGAAUGAAUUAACUGUUAUAUAUCCCCCCCCCCCACCACCACCACUUUCUUUUGAGACAGGGUCUUGCUCUGUUGCCCAGGCUGAAGUGCGGUGGUGCGAUCAUGGCUCACCACUGUCUCAACCUCCCAGGUUCAAAUGAUCCUCCCACCUCAGCCUCCUGAGUAGCUGGAACAACAGGCAUCUGCCACCACACCCAGCUAAUUUCUCUACAAAAAGUAUUUUUUGUAGAGACGGGGUUUUGCCAUGUUGCCCAGGCUUGAACUCCUAGGCUCAAGCAAUCCUCCCGCCUUGGCCUCCCAAAGUGCUGGGAUUACAGGUGUGAGCCACUGUACCUGGCCAAUGUUGUAUAUUCCUAACAGUGAAAUUCAGUAUAGCAAACAUGAAUGAAUGAUAUCUGUGUACUAUUAUAAAUAAAUCUCAAAAACGAUGUUGAGCAGAAAUGAUAUGAUACCAUCUGUAUAAAAAUUAAAAUAUGACAUGUUGGUUAUGGAUAUAUACAAAUUUUCAAAGUAUGAAAACAGGCUUAUGCAUAAAAAAUACCAAAUUCAGGAUAGUACAUAUCUCUGGGGAAGAUGGGAGGGGUAGGGGAAUUUGAUUAAGAAAUGAAACAUGGGAGACUUCAAUACAAUGUAAUGUUUCCUUUCUUAAAAAAUAAUAAAAAAGCAAUUAUUACAAAAUACUAAAAUUUAGCAAAGCUAGGAAUGGAUAAGUGGGCAUUUUUUUCUAUGUUAUUAUGCAUUAUUUUCUAUGUUAUUAUGCAAUUGAAAUGUUUAUAAUUUUAAAAAGCAUAGAAUUGCACAGAAUUACUGACAUUUGUUCAAAUUCACAUAGAAAUGAAAAUUUAAAAAUCAUUACCAAAUAUUUUUUGGAAAAUGAUUCUACAUUAGUAGAGCCAGAAUUCUACCCUUACUCCAAAGCUGGAGUCAUUCCUCAAAUUUCAGACCCCCUCUCCUUUCUUUUUCUGAUCUUACCCUGAGGGUUCAUCAUGUUCUUCUCUGCGCUAGCACGGUACAUUGUUUAAGGCACCACCUUGGCAUUUUGUUUUUAAAACUAAAUUGCAGUUAGUUGUACCUGUGUUUCCUCACCCAGAGACUAAGCUCUUGGGGGCACCAUACCUGGUAUAUGAAAAUACAGAGGGAGAGUGGCUAGGGUGUGGCUUCUACUCCUAACUAACUCUUGUGAUGACUUACCAAAAACUAAUCACCAAGUUCUAUAAAUACUUAUUCUUGCAAAAUAAUCAAUUUCCAAAGAAUGUAAGAGAAUCAAAGAUUGUGUUCCAGCCUUUCUCAUGAAUCAACAGGAGGGGCAGAAUUGUUACAAACAGUAUUUGUGGGAAGAAAUAAACAACCUAUAGUUUAUUUGUUUCACUUGGGGAUUUUCAAGCCCUCAGAAGAGGGAAAGGAAUCUUGCUGAUGUGGAUUGAGCCUACUCCGGUGGUAUAGUCAUGGGCUGGAUUUCAUUACUUAGCCAUAAUUAAGUCAGUUCUCAAAUUAGGUCCCAUUCUAGAAAUGACUGCAGAGAUAAUUCUAUAUUAAACUCCUGGGUUCAUAUAUGUUGAAUAGUACAAUAAAUAUAAACAUAUUAAAUAGCACAGUGCAUAGAAAUUAUACAGUAAAUCAAUAUAAAUUGAAUUAUGUAACAUUGGAAUGGGAUUGUAAAUGAGAGAACCAUCUUGUUCAACCUUUAAAAAUAUUAUCAAGUGGCUUUUCUAAUUGAGAGUACUUUAUGAAAAACAGUAUGAGGGAACAUAAAGUAAUAUAUAUUAUAAUAUUACUUCUCCUUUGAAAGUGUUUUGUCCUUUUCAACAUGAGGAGGUCAGUGUCCCCAAGCAGCCUGCAGCCUCUCCUACAUUUCCCCCUCGCCUCCCAUGGCAACACGGGUUAGCCAGACACUGAGCUUUUUGUGAUGUGUGUGUGAGGACAGAGAGAAGGGGAGCAAAGCUUCAGGGAGGUCUUGAGGUGGAAAAAUUUGUGACGCACACGAUUUGGUGACUGAAGAAGAAUUCUUUCUUGAGGGUUCUAUAACACAAUAGUUACGGUCACCCUAUGUGCAUUUAAAAAUUCCUAGUUGGUCUCAAGCCCUUAAUGCACACCGAAGCCCUUUAAGAGGCUUCUCAAACUACUUGUUCAUGGAAAGAUUAUGAGACAAAGCCAACCUGUGUGGGUUUGGUCCUUCUGUUUCAGAACCUGACUACCAAAGAGCCUGGGAGAAGUACAUAAACUUAUUGAACAUGUAACUCAUAAACUAAAAGAUUCAAACUCUGUACACAGAAUUCUGUAUGCGGUCAUGAAGAAAUCCCUUCUCAUUUAUGAUCAUACAUUUGCCUUAGGGAGUCCGAGUUUGCCCUCUUCACUGCCUUGGGUGCCCCACUAUCUUCCUGAGGUAGGCACAGUCCUCCUGCAAGUUUCUCCCUGAGAGAAGAGCACCUCCAACCUCCAACAGAAUUGAUGAGGACUGAAAUGCUGUUGCCCUUGUCUUAGAAAAUGCCUCCUUCAUAGCUUUCCUGGCAUAGCUAAAUGUGAGAUAGGGCUAAGCCUGUGAGAUCAGGCUAAUGGCCUGAUAUGCAUGCCACACCUGAUACUUUAGAAGGAAGCCAGCCAAGGAAGUGUUUUUUCCCCCACUUAGUAAUAAAGCUAAAAUUCUCUCGCUCGUCAAAGUCUAGUUAACACAUUAGCAGCCCCCUCCCCCUUUUCUGGUCUCCUGUCAUUAUCUUCCAUACAAGAGAGAGGGCUUGAUAAUAACAUAUCUUAAAGGGGUUUUUAAUUGCUCCUUACAGUGAAUGCUGAAUCUAACGCUUUAAAAACAACUGAGUAGAAUGCCACUUAAAAGCGCUUCCUCCAGGUUUCUCACCACCUCUCUCAGUACCACGGCACUCCCAGCCAGGGGAGAGUUGCUCAUUUCUGCAAAGAUUAGAAGCAGGUCCAACAGAACUUCUUCAGCAGAAUCUGAGAAUGCUCAUUUGUGAACAAACUGUCUGCUUUCCAACGUCCCGUCACUUACUGGACUUUUGCCAGCCCCAGGAAACACCAUAAUGAAACACUCACAUUUAUGAAAUUCACAAUUAGGGACCGUGGCUCUAGCAACAUUAGCUCAGAGAGCAUCAACUUUAAAUAUGCUCAAAAAUCAAACUGGAGAGCUUACAGUAUCCCAUCGUGGCCAUCCCUUUUCGUUUUGGAACUGAGAUUGGACCAAUUGUUAUGAAAGGCUGCAUGUUUUAGUCUUCCCUGGUCUUUCCCUCUUGGGUGGCUUGGGUUUGUGCAAUACAGUACUUAGUGAAGGAAAAGCAGAGCCCAGCUCAGGACUUCUUAAGUGAGGGAACAGAAUCCAAUGAGAAGCCCUUAAAUGUGUGUCAAAAUGAAGAUCUACCAAAGAGUGAAGGCACCUACUAAAGGCUAUUACCUCAUAAGGCUCAAAGGGCGGGUGGGGGGUGCCCACAGUAUGCAAUCACCACCCCCCACAGGACAGCAGGCUUGGUCAAUGGCUGAACAUAUAAGCAUUCCCCAAUGGUACCACUCAGCCAGCCACCUUUGCAUCAGAAGCCAAAGUAUCCUUGAGCUACAUCUUGACAUCAGGAUACUCCCUGGAGCAUAAAGAAAUGCAGGAAUUUACAGCGUGGAGGUUCCUAAGCCUUAAAGAGUUAAUGCAGCAAAGGAAAUGCCUAAGUUAACCUUAGAAUUGUAUUCACUAGCUAGAUUUACUUGAUUUUAUUUUUACAGAAAUUUGACAAAAGAAGCAAUCUGUAAAUGCAAUGAAAACAGCUUCCUCCAUAUGUCUCACUACUGGCAUGAGCACGGAGCCGCGCCACCCCAUCGUACCUCCGUGUGUCAGAUUACGGGCUCAGAAUACCCCUCGGAAACACUCAGACUUCUAGCUGUUCCAAGAAAGCCGUAGGGCUUUCAAUAAUAAGCUGUAAAACGAGCUUAAGAGUCACUGAGGUUGCUGUGCAAAUGUAUAACCCUCACCGGAAAUGCUAUGGACUGAAUUGUGUCCCCGUAAGUCAUAUGUUGAAGCUGUAACCUCAAAAGUAACUAUAUUUGGAGAUAGGGCUUUUAGGAGGUAAUUAAGGUUAAAUAAGAUCCUAAGCAUGGGGUCCUAAUCCAACAGGACUGGAGGAUUCAUGAGAAGAGGAAGAGAAAGAGAUCUCUUCUUCUCUUCACAUGCAUGAACUGAGAAAAGACCAUGUGAGCACACAGCAAGAAGGCAGCCGCCUGCAAGCCAGGAAGAGAACCCUCCCUAGCCCCUGACCAUGUUGACACCCUGAUCUUGGACUUCCCGUCUCCAGAACUGUGAGAAAAUGAAUGUUUGCUGUUUAAGUCACCCAGUCUACGGUAUUUUGUUAUAGCAGCCUGAGCCGACUAAGACAGAAAGAAAAAUGUAUUUUAGUUAAUGCCAUAUGUGUAGGUGUACACAUAUGAAUUUUAAAAUUAACCAGGGUGAUGGAGUGAGCUGCUUCACUCAGGCAUCUGACAGUUACUCUUGCCAAGUUUUAUCUCAAUACACAGAGAUCUGAGACUGCAUCCAAAGCAUCUGAAAGAGGGUGUGCCUAUGGAAUAGGUUUUUAUAUAGCUUAUGCUGUAAAGCCUGUUCCUAGCAUCUAUUUUUUUAAAAGAAGUUCACUGUAAGCUUAUGAACUCAUCGUGAUAAACCUAGACUUGAACAUUUACAGCAAAUAAUAACUGGAAGGUUAAACUAUGACAUCAUGAGGUCCCAUCCAGCUCUGGAUUUUGAUGGACAUUUUUUGACCAGUACUUCCUUAGUUUGCCAGGAUGGAAGACCUAAAAAUGAACUGCAUUUUGCAGUGAAUUAUACCUAAUUAAAGUUUAAUGACUAGAUUACAUUCCUGUCUGAUAUGGUUUGAUUCUGUGUCCCCACCCAAAUCUCUCUUGAAUUGUAAUCCCCAUGUGUUGAGGGGGAAACCUGGUGGAAGGUGGUUUGAUCAUGGGGGUGGUUCCCCCUAUGCUCUUCUCAUGAGAAGAUGAGAUAGUGAGUUCUCAUGAGAUCUGAUGGCUUAUAAGUGGCAGUUUCCCCAGUGCUCUCUCUCCUGCAGCCCUGUAAGAUAUGAUUUGCUUCUCCUUUGCCUUCUGCCAUGAUUGUAAGUUUCCUGAGGCCUCCUCAGCCAUGUGGAAUUGUCAGUCAAUUAAACCUCCUUUCUUUAUAAAUUAGUCUCACGUAGUAUCUUUAUAGCAGCGUGAGAACAGACUAAUACACUAUCCUACAGUAACAUAGAAACAUAUAUGCUGAACUCUUCAACAUAACCUUAUGUGUUUCCUUUUAAUGUUAUCAUUAACCCUUCAGGCCACAAUACAACCAAGUGGAUCCAGUGAAAGACCAUCCUUAAUAGAAAUGUCUCAGAUACAGCUAAAGGCAAGAGCAAAUCUAGAAAACACCCAUUUUCUCAGACCACACUGAAAGAGGGCAUCAUAUUGGCAAUCUAUCUAUUCAACUGUUAGACCAAACAUUAGAGAAACCUAUGCCAUUGUUUUCUUCGUAAAAGGUUAAGAGUGGUAAUAUCAACAUCUAGCAUUCAGCCACAUCAAUCCUAAUAUGUCCUAUUCUAGUUAGGAGAGUGCAUAUAAGUCAAAUGACCUUCCUGAGUCCUGCCAUUUUAUAACAUGAAAUAAAAAAUCUAAGUAAUGUUAAGUUAAUAUGUUCUGAAUUCUUCUAGAAUCCAGAAGCCAAAAUGGAGUAAUAACACAUUCCUUACUAUUACCUCAUAGUUGUCUUAAAUGUCAUAAAUAAAUUUGUCUGUGUUUGAAUAUACAACUACAGUCAGCCCUCUGUAUCAAUGGGUUCCAUAUCCAUGAAUAUAAUCAACCACGGAUCAAAAACAUUUGGAUAAAAAAAGGAUGGUUGUGUCUGUACUGAACAUGUACAGACCUUUUCAUGUCAUUAUUCCCUCAAUAAUAUAGUGUGUCAACUGUUUACAUAGUAUUUAUAUUGUAUUAGGUAUUAUAAGUAAUCUAGAAAUGAUUUAAAGCAUAUGUAGGAUGUGCAUAAAUUAUAUGCAAAUACUACACCAUUUUAUAGCAGGGACUUGAGUAUCUGUGAAUUUUGGUAUCAGGAGUCCCAGUACCAAUCCCCUGCAGAUACUAAGGGAUGACUGAAUAUAGCUUAAAAAUGGGCAUAUGCAUGUUCAAACAGAAGCUCUGAUAAUGGCAAGUAUGGAAUAAAUAGAUUUCAGUUCAACAUUUAUUAAUUA